GACGAACCGAGCGAACGUUGUUCGGAAUCACUGGGCUUAAAGGGCGCGUAGGCGGGUUCUCAAGUCCGGGGUGAAAUCCCACAGCUCAACUGUGGAACUGCCUCGGAUACUGGGGGUCUCGAGGGUGGUAGGGGUAUGCGGAACUAUCGGUGGAGCGGUGAAAUGCGUUGAUAUCGAUAGGAACUCCGGUGGCGGAGGCGGCAUACUGGACCACAUCUGACGCUGAGGCGCGAGAGCCAGGGGAGCAAACGGG
rnacentral:rRNA from 1 species